GAGGUCUGAAGGCUAAUAUGAAGCAACGACCUUGUAAGUCGAAGAUAGACCUGAAAAUCUC
rnacentral:tRNA from 1 species